rnacentral:misc_RNA from 1 species
GAUGAAGAACGUAGCGAAAUGCGAUAAUUAAUGUGAAUUGCAGAAUUCCGUGAAUCAUCGAGUCUUUGAACGCACAUUGCGCCUCAUGGCAUUCCGUGAGGCACGCCCAUCUCAGCGUUAGAAAAUAUUCUCAAAUUUUAGUUUUGUGCUAAAAUUUGGAUCAUGUCAAAGAAGCUAUUACUAUUAUUGUGAUCGCUCUUUGGAAAUUGAUAGGUCUUUGAGUUGCUACUCAUAGAACGUGAUGAAUCUUUCUUCGUUCUAUUGUAAUUCACUCUGGUAGUCCUAAAACUUGUAUGCCUGUGGCAUAUCUUGUAAUUUGACCUGAGAUUGGGUAGGGAUACCCGCUGAACUUAAGCAUAUCAAUAAGCGGAGGA